rnacentral:rRNA from 1 species
GACAGAGGGUGCAAACGUUGUUCGGAAUCACUGGGCGUAAAGCGUGCGCAGGCGGUUUUGUAAGACAGGCGUGAAAUCCCCGGGCUCAACCUGGGAAUGGCGCUUGUGACUGCAAAGCUGGAGUGCGGCAGAGGGGGAGUGGAAUUCCGCGUGUAGCAGUGAAAUGCGUAGAUAUGCGGAGGAACACCAAUGGCGAAGGCAAUCCCCUGGGCCUGCACUGACGCUCAUGCACGAAAGCGUGGGGAGCAAACAGGAUUAGAAACCCUAGUAGU